rnacentral:rRNA from 1 species
GUCGAGAAUAAUUCACAAUGGACGAAAGUCUGAUGGUGCAACGCCGCGUGGAGGAUGACGGUCUUCGGAUUGUAAACUCCUGUCAUCCGGGAGUAAGACCUGGCUGUGAAUAGCAGACAGGGUUGAUAGUACCGGAAGAGGAAGGGACGGCUAACUUCGUGCCAGCAGCCGCGGUAAUACGAAGGUCCCGAGCGUUGAUCGGAAUCACUGGGCGUAAAGGGAGCGUAGGCGGCGUGGUAAGUCAGAUGUGAAAUCCCGGGGCUCAACCCCGGAACUGCAUCCGAUACUGCCGUGCUAGAGGAUUGGAGAGGUAGCUGGAAUUCUUGGUGUAGCAGUGAAAUGCGUGGAGAUCAAGAGGAACACUCGUGGCGAAAGCGAGCUACUGGACAAUAUCUGACGCUGAGGCUCGAAGGCCAGGGUAGCGAAAGGGAUUAGAAACCCGGGUAGUCC